rnacentral:rRNA from 1 species
ACGCACGCUGGCGGCGUGCUUAACACAUGCCAGUCGAACGGAAAGGCCCUGCUUGCAGGGUGCUCGAGUGGCGAACGGGUGAGUAACACGUGGGUGAUCUGCCCCUUACUUUGGGAUAAGCCUGGGAAACUGGGUCUAAUACUGGAUAGGACCAUGCUGUAGGUGGUGUGGUGGAAAGAUUAGUUUCGGUAAGGGAUGAGCUCGCGGCCUAUCAGCUUGUUGGUGGGGUAAUGGCCUACCAAGGCGUCGACGGGUAGCCGGCCUGAGAGGGUGGACGGCCACAUUGGGACUGAGAUACGGCCCAGACUCCUACGGGAGGCAGCAGUGGGGAAUAGUGCACAAUGGGCGCAAGCCUGAUGCAGCGACGCCGCGUGGGGGAUGACGGCCUUCGGGUUGUAAACUCCUUUCAGCCAUGACGAAGCCCUUGUGGUGACGGUAGUGGUAGAAGAAGCACCGGCUAACUACGUG